UUUUAUUUGCUGUUGUAAAACUUUAGUUUAUUGCAGUAUGUUUAGUUUGAAAUUAAAAUAAAAACUAGCAACAAGAACAACAGUAUAAAACAUCAAAGAAAUGAGACAUUCUGCUUAACUUGUCUGUUUUCUUGACCACAGAGCACAGUGGGCAAAACUCACUUCCCUACAGACGGGCUACAGUGAGUCUGGGGCUGCUGUGUGCCCUCUUAUUGGCUGCCACAGUAGUCCUGUGUGUCCUCUAUACAAGUCUAUCAAAAAAGUAUUCAAUGUUGGAGAGAGAUCUGGAGAAAGUCCAGCUACAGAGCAGUGUGUCUAACCGCUGUCUACAGGGCUGGGCACAGUUCUCUUCGAAGUGUUACUACUUCUCUAAUGAGAGGAAGAACUGGACAGACAGUCGCACUGACUGCGUUAAAUGGGGAGCUGACCUGGUGAUUAUAGAGAGUGUAGAGGAAAAGCGGUUCAUCAACAAUAAAAUAAGAAACGUUAUCUGGAUUGGACUGAGUUACUCAGCAGCUAAGGGUAACUGGCUCUGGGUGAAUGGAACCCAUCUGCAGGAUGGGUAAGAA